rnacentral:SRP_RNA from 1 species
GCUGGGUGUGGUGGUGCGUGCCUGUAAUCCCAGCUACUCAGGAGGCUGAGGCAGGAGAAUUGCUUAAAUCCAGGAGACUGAGGCUGCAGUGAGCCAAGAUCGUGCCACUGCACUCCAGCCUGGGUGACAGAGCAAGACUCUGUCUCAG